rnacentral:rRNA from 1 species
AGUGAACGCUGGCGGUAGGCCUAACACAUGCAAGUCGAACGGCAGCACAGUAAGAGCUUGCUCUUACGGGUGGCGAGUGGCGGACGGGUGAGGAAUACAUCGGAAUCUACUUUUUCGUGGGGGAUAACGUAGGGAAACUUACGCUAAUACCGCAUACGACCUACGGGUGAAAGCAGGGGAUCUUCGGACCUUGCGCGAUUGAAUGAGCCGAUGUCGGAUUAGCUAGUUGGCGGGGUAAAGGCCCACCAAGGCGACGAUCCGUAGCUGGUCUGAGAGGAUGAUCAGCCACACUGGAACUGAGACACGGUCCAGACUCAUACGGGCGGCAGCAGUGGGGAAUAUUGGACAAUGGGCGCAAGCCUGAUCCAGCCAUACCGCGUGGGUGAAGAAGGCCUUCGGGUUGUAAAGCCCUUUUGUUGGGAAAGAAAAGCAGCAGGUUAAUACCCCGCUGUUCUGACGGUACCCAAAGAAUAAGCACCGGCUAACUUCGUG